rnacentral:rRNA from 1 species
AGCAGCCGCGGUAAUUCCAGCUCCAAUAGCGUAUAUUAAAGUUGUUGCAGUUAAAAAGCUCGUAGUUGAAUUUCGGGAUUAGUACGUUGGUCGUGCCUUCGGUACGUACUGGUGUUACUGAUUCCUACCUUCUGACGAACCAUCAUGUCAUUAAUUUGGUGUGGUGGGGAAUCAGGACUGUUACUUUGAAAAAAUUAGAGUGUUUAAAGCAGGCUCGCGCUUGAAUACAUUAGCAUGGAAUAAUGAAAUAGGACGUUGACCCUAUUUUGUUGGUUUCUAGGAUUGACGUAAUGAUUAAUAGGGAUAGUUGGGGGCAUUAGUAUUCAAUUGUCAGAGGUGAAAUUCUUGGAUUUAUUGAAGACUAACUACUGCGAAAGCAUUUGCCAAGGAUGUUUUCAUUAAUCAAGAACGAAGGUUAGGGGAUCGAAGACGAUCAGAUACCGUCGUAGUCUUAACCAUAAACUAUGCCGACUAGGGAUCGGAUGAUGUUAUUUUUAAUGACUCA